CUACGGGCGGCUCCAGUGAGGAAUAUUGCACAAUGGGGGGAACCCUGAUGCAGCAACGCCGCGUGGAGGAUGACGCAUUUCGGUGUGUAAACUCCUUUUAUAUGUCAAGAAAAUGACGGUAGCAUAUGAAUAAGCACCGGCUAACUCCGUGCCAGCAGCCGCGGUAAUACGGAGGGUGCAAGCGUUACUCGGAAUCACUGGGCGUAAAGGACGCGUAGGCGGGUUGGAAAGUCAGGUGUGAAAUCCUACAGCUUAACUGUAGAACUGCACUUGAAACUCUCAAUCUAGAGUAUGGGAGGGGCAGAUGGAAUUAGUGGUGUAGGGGUAAAAUCCGUAGAUAUCACUAGGAAUACCUAAAGCGAAGGCGAUCUGCUGGAACAUUACUGACGCUAAGGCGUGAAAGCGUGGGGAGCAAACAGGAUUAGAUACCCCGGUAGUC
rnacentral:rRNA from 1 species